rnacentral:lncRNA from 1 species
AGCAUUAUCUAGUACAAACUUCUACGUGAUUUCAUAUUCAUAGUUUUGUGUUUAUUUAGUAUCGGUGUAAUAAUGACGUUGACGAUGACAAUAAUGAUAAUGGUGAUGGUGAUGAUGACAGGCAAAGUUAUCUGACCCGGUGGCGAAAGCUGGAACCAACGAAAAUACAUAAUCUCAUUGUGAAAACGCUAAACAUCAAACAUGUGAUAACAGCGAUAUUCGCUAUGGGCCAGAUAAGUUCGUGGCAUUGAAGUUACCUAUAUAAAUGGGUGGUUAUCGUAAAAAAAAUCAUUUAGAUUAAAUUCAGAUCCUUCAUACUAGUGGAACUAUUGAGGUUUCAAGUUUAUUGUUGUUAGAAUAACUCUUCUGGAAACAACUUCAUAAUAUCUAUUGUACGUUCGUAUUCGUUCUGCAACAGGAAGUGGCAGUACAAUGCCGAAGACCACAGUCUACUACUUCCCCCUGAAGGCGCUCGGUGAAGGGAUCCGUCUCCUGCUGGCUUAUGGAGGCGAGGAGUUUGAAGACCGCAGGGUGACUA